rnacentral:misc_RNA from 1 species
AACAAGGCGUACCUGCGGACCUGCGGAGGGAUCAUUACAGAGUUCAUGCCCUCACGGGUAGAUCUCCCACCCUUGAAUACUAUACCUUUGUUGCUUUGGCGGGCCGCUUUGGCUACUGGCUCUGGCUAGUAAGUGCCCGCCAAAGAACCCCAAAACUCUGAAUAUUAGUGUCGUCUGAGUACUAUAUAAUAGUUAAAACUUUCAACAAUGGAUCU